rnacentral:lncRNA from 1 species
UAAGAUUUAUUUCCAGGAGAAAGAUGAGAUGGUGAAUAAUUACAAUACAAUACUCUCAAGUCUUAAGGCCAAACAAAAUCAACACAAAUUUUGGGAAGUUCUUCAAAAUCCUUAGCUAAAUUGAAGUCGGUGUUGAAAUUAUUUGAGGAAUUGUUGAAUACCCUUUUGUUGGAAACUCCUUUGUCAGCCACAACAGCACAAGAAUUAGAAACUGAAGAAGAAGGUGAAGUUAAAUAAUCAGUAUUUUCAUGUCUAAGUAGCUCAGCUAACAAAAGAACAAGAGAAGACAUUUGAUAAUAAAAAAAAAAUUCUAAUGAAAGAUGUUUUCAAGAUUUUUCCUUUGUUUGAUACAAUGAAUUCAAAGCACACAAAUUCCUAAUUUAUAAGCAACCAAAAGUAGGUGAAUAGUAGUAUUAAAAGCUGGCUUGACUUAAAUACUGUGUGAUAUUUAUUUAAUAUAAGAAAACAAGGGGCAAACAAAAGCAGUUGGUUCAGGAAAUAUGUGGUGAAUCCUGGAGAUUUCGAUUUAGUUCAUGUUUAUACUCCGUUCAUAUUUAUAUGUCAUCCUUAUUAAACAUAGACACUUCUCAAUAUUUGUCAUUUCACAAAAAUAAGGUAUAAAUGACACUAUUUUAUAUAUAUAUAUAUAUAUAUAUAUAUAUAGAUAUAUAGAGGAUAGUGCUAAAUGGCCAGAAAAUUUGGCCAGCCAGAAAUUUAAAAAAUCUAUAAUAUCUUUUUUAUUUAAAAUAAACUAAUCUUUUUUCAUUUUUAAAUUAAAAGAUAUUAAAGUUAAAAAGGUAAAAUACCAUUCUAGCCAAAAAAAUUGGCCAAAAGGAUUUUUCUAUAUAUAUAUAUAUUUGACUAACAUAGAAUAACUAAGUAAAUAGUUCAUGUGUAUUGGUCAGAAUAAUUAAUCAAAAUAAACUAAAUCAUAUUCAUUGAUUGAAAACUUGACUUUACGAGAACACUUAAUAAGGAUACAAUGAUAAAAUUACUUAAUUUCUUAGAAACGUGAAAUCUAAAAUAGUGACAACUAAAAAAAACCAACGUCAUAUGAAUAUCUUACUUAAUUAAUAAAUUUGAGAAAAUCUUAAUAGUUUAGUUGAUUGACUAUUUGAACACUCACCACCUUAUUGAUCCAUACUAUAAUCCCCUCCUCUAUUUUCCCAUUCCCUCCCCCAAUUUAAAUAAUAAUAAUAAUAAAUUUAUUUUAACUUUAUAAUUUUUUUUUAUGUAUAAUAACAUAAAUAUAAAAUUAGAAUAAAUAUAUUGGGUUAGACAGCACAAGUUACCGACGCGGCCCCUAGCUAUUUGUUCCUGUUGUUUUGUAGUGUAUUCUUGUUUUUGUCAAUAGUUUCGUCUUUUUGUGACUCUGCCUUUCAUUUAUAGAGGGCUCAGCCACCGCUACCUGUUUUCUCAAAAGUACUACGCUAAAAACCACGGCCUUUUGCGGUGCGAUUCUUUGUUAUUUUUAUUAAUAUAUUUCAUUAUAAAUACAUAAAUACACACGUAAUUUCAAUCUUAGAUGGUUAAGUGUCUAAAUAUAUACUGUUAAAAUUAGCGUGUUUAUUUAUUACAUAGCUGAGAUCAAGUUUAAGGGUGUCUUUUUUUUUUCCAAUUCCAUUUUCUUCGGUCAAUUCGCGGGGUUAGAUAUCGUUUUUGACUCAAUUAAGCUUAAUUGGGGUUCAAAAAAAGUAAGCUUUACUUUGGGUUUAUUUGUGGAAUAUAUUUUAGUAAAUUCUAGCCGUAUAAAAGUUUUUACGUCAUAUAUAUAAAUAUAAAAAUAAUAAUAUAUCUUUUUAGUUAAUACCCUUUGCAGAUAGUCGUUAGAUUCGAGCUCUGAGUAUAAUUUUUUUUUUUUUUAGGAAGUGUUACUCCCAAAUGGAUAGCAUGAAUAAUAAAAUAAAUAACCCUAGUUGUCAACUCUUUUGUCUUGAAUCUUUGAACUCCCAAAUCUUUGAAGUAUUCUCUAUUGAAUAAAUAACUCACUCAACAGUUCACGUAGGAACCUCAAAAAGUGAGAUAGUUUAAAUGUGUUUUUAAUCCUUAACUUUAAUGUAAUUGAAAUCUCAAAGGACAAAGAAAACUUAAUUAUUAUGAUGAAAUAUUACUCUAUUAUAGAAAACGGUUAUUCUAGAAAGAAUGAAAACUUUUCUCAAUUCAAGAAAAUAUAAAAGUUUGUAAAGAUUAGUAUGAUUGCAAAUAAACUACAACUUUGUUAAUAAAAUAUCUGAAGUUUAAAUUGAAUAACAACCAGAGAGAAAGUUGAGAUGAAGCAAUUCCUCUCGUGUAUCUUACGUAAGUUUCAAGUGGCUGUGGACUUCCCCAUUGACCUAGUGAGUAUUUUCACCAGAUAGACACUUUUGUGUCCUCACAAAUUAAACCAACCAUAUGAAGGGACCAAACUUGGCUGGGCCUAACAAUCCUAACCACUAUUUUAAGGUUUGAUACAUUUCUCGUUAUGAAAGUGACUCAUAUAUAUUCAUAAUGUUAUACAAAUGGAUCACAUACAUCCUUUUCUUUUUACGGAAGUGAAAAAAAUAAUGUUAAUUUAAUUUUUUAAUUAUUUUUUUGGAAAAAAAUAUAAUUCAUAUGGGGUAUAUUUGAUCCUCCUCAUGCGUAUUUUUUUUUUUUUUUGUUUUAAUAACUAAUUUAAAUUUAUUAUUUUGAUGGUCAAAGUUGUAUGUUUCACUAAUUUUCUUGUAAAAAUUUUCACAGAUGCCCCAUUUUUUUUAGGGAAAAUUAUAUAAAAUAGCAAACUAUUAAUUCAAAUUAAAUGUUAUAACCACAGUCCACAGUUUCAUUUAAUUCGAAUUCAUACCAAACACUUUGUCAUUCGCCUCUCUCCCCAGAAAUCUCGCUCACCACUCUCCCUGAUCUCGCUCGCAUCUCUCACUUUAUACAAACACAAAUGUAUAAAUUGUGUUUGAAUAAAGCGAGAGAAAACUGUAUAUACAAAUACAAAUACAUAUACAUAUAUUUUUGUCGUAUACACUUAUAAUUAUACAAUAUAAAUCUUCCCCUGCCCAGUUUUCUUUUGACUUUCUCUCUUUCUCGUUUUAUACAAACAAAAAUUAUACAAAAUACAAUGUAUAAUUUGUGUUUGUAUAAAGCGAGAGAGCAACCCGAUUCAAUUGUAUACGAAUUCAAAUUUUAUGCAAAUAUACAAACGCAAUUUUCAUAGACACAGAAACCCGAUUUAUACAAAUUUCUGCGAUUUAUACAAAUCAGAUGCCUGCGAUUUUAUACAAAUCAAAGUUGCCUGCGAUUUUUAUACAGAUCUGAUGCUCUAUAGCAAACUAUGUUUGCUAUGGAGCACAAAUAGCAAAAUUGUAGCUAUAGAGCGCUAAUAUGAUUUUUAUAUUUGCUAAACCUAAAAUUUACUCUUUUUUAAUUUUAUUUUUACAAAUACAAAAAAGAAAUUACAAUAUAGCCACAAAAAAAAUUAAUUUUAAAUUUUUUCUUUACACUAAAGAAUGAAAGAAACUCAAAUAAUUAUAAUUAAAGAAGUCAAUAAAUAAUUUUUGUAUGAAAAUGAUUAAAAUACACCUUAAACUUUGCUAGAGGAUCAUAUAUAUGACCCUAUAUGAUUUUUUCUAAAAUUAAAGUCAAAAAAAUAAAUUUAAAACUAAUUUUUUCACUUUCAUUAGAUGAAGGGUAUAUGUGAACUCCUAUUGUAACGGUAAGAGUAUAUGUGAGUCAUUUGUAUAACGAUAAGGGUAUAUAUGAGUCACUUUCAUAAUGAGAAGUAUAUCAGAUCUAAAUGACAAAGUUAAGAAGUAUAUCAGACCAUUUUCCCUAUUUUAUUUACUAUACUAUGAGAGGGAGUUUCAAAGUGCUCAUCAACAGGCCAACAUGACAUGCCUGCUUGAGCACUUUGAGGGUGUUCCUAUAAUUUUUUGGUAAUUCAUUCGUUUUAACUAGUUUGUUUUAUUUUUUAGAUUAUAUAUAUUUAAAAAUUGUGUAAAACAUAAUACUUAUAAAUCAUAAUAAUUGACAAUUUAAAUUUUUUGAAAAAAAUAUUUUUUAAAAAUCGACUGAUUUUUGAAAUUAAUAUAUUGUUGAAUUGUGUAAAGAAAUAUGGUAAUUGACAACUUAAAAUAUUUUUAAAAAGAUAUGUAAAAAAUUCAACCGAUUCUUCAAUUAAUCUAUCGGUGAUACAUAAAAUAGGACAAAAAGAAGUAACAUGUACAGUAUUAUUUAAUUUGAAAACUAUGUAAAAAGUAUUAUAAAUCUCAAUAAUUAACAACAAUUGAUUGGGUCUUUAAAUUCUAUCUAUGCUACACACAUUGGGACAAAGGCAAUAACAUAUACUCCUUUCGUCCCAUUUUAUGUGAGGUAGUUUGACUCAGCACGGAGUUUAAGAAAGAAAGAAAGACUUUUAAAAUUUGUGGUCCAAAAUGAAUGAUAGAAAUUUGUGUGGCUGUAAAUCAUUUUCAUUAAGUGUAAAUAGACAUUUUAUAGUUAAAUUGUUACUUAAUAUAUAAAUGUGUCAUUCUUUUUGGGACUAAUGAAAAUCUAAAAAUGAAAGUAAGUCACAUAAAUUGGGAUAGAGAGAGUAUUAUUUAACAAUUACGUAAAAUGUACUAUAACUCACCAUAAUUAAUAACUUAAAAUAUUUAAAAAUUAUACUAAAAUUUAAUUGACUCUCUAAAUUGAGAUAAAAAGUAAUAGAUAUUAAGCAUGUAUCUGGUAUAUUAUUGAAGAUUUAGUCUUGGCAAGCUUGAUUUUAGACGUGUAUAGCAGAAAUUUGAUUUGAGAAAGUAAAAUUUCUAACGCAUAAUUUGAUGAAUGGCUAAACUUACAUAAAUUUAUAAAAAUAAUCCGUGGAUUAAAUAAGGCCCCAAAAUCAGUGAUCUAUGACCAUGCACCCCUUUCGAUCUUCUUCUUCGUUCUUUAGUUAUAUACUUAGGAGAAAAUGGUCAAAUGACCCCUCAACGUAUAUUCGAAUUUUUAACUAUACACUUAAACUUCACGAGAAUUCUAUCACCCCUCUGUACUAUUUAAAAUUGAAAUUAUUACCUCCCUGAAUGUUUAGUUGGCAUAGUGAAUGUAUUUCACUCUCUUUGGGAGAGUGAGUAUCAAAUCUAUUAUUAAAACCUUAAUUUUAAUAUCUCUUUUCAAUAAAUAUAUAUGCAUUUUUAAUUAUUUAUUUUUCUUAUUUGUUUUCUUUCUUCUCCAACAAUAUAAACAAAUCUCUCAAUCUUUCACCAUCUCUAAGUCGUGCUGCCCAUCUUCACCAGAUUCACUAUUAUUGAUUCCAAACAAAUUUUCAAACUCAUAAAACUCUUGCAAAAUCAAUCAACCUAAAUCAAUUGUAGAUAAGUUUACAUAUAUUUAUAUCACCCCAAGAUACUUUAGAUUCGAUUUGAGAAAAAUCAAUAUGGGUUUACUUCAAACCCAAUUGAACCCACCGAAUUUUAUUUUAUUUUUACUAAUAGAUCAUUUAAUUAUCAAUCUCAAAUCUCAAUCAAUCAAUUAUAUCUCAAAAAUUAUCGCUAUUAAUCUCGUUAAUUCAUCAACCGUCGUAGAAUCAAUCUCUUCCUCUUCGAAAUUGUUGUCGCAAUCGAUGAUGACGUGGAAGACAUUGUAGGCUCCUCCUCCUCAUCUUCCUUGAGAGGAUUACUUAUCUUUGGUGACCACCAUUAAUGGCAAUAUUUUGCCAUGUUCGUCUUCUCUCCUGCCUUCACUUUUUUUUAAAUUUGAUUUUUAGGUUUCAAAUGAGCAAAACCAGUAUAUCUCUGGAUAAGCUCUGAAAUCAUUAUUCAACUUUUUUCCUUAAAGACCCAAUUUUAUGGACUUAUGGUGUUCUAGUAAUGUUGAAAAUGGUGGAAGUACUUUAGGUGUUUGAAGGGAUGGGUCAGAAUAUAGAAGAAAAGGGUAAAUAAAUAUAAAAAAUAAAAAAUAUAUAUUUGAUGAGGUGUCAAACAUGCCACCAUAGAUCUGGUUAUAUCCUUUUAAGGGUAUAAUUAAUUCAUCUUUAAACAGUUCAGGGGUGAUAGGACUCCCGUGAAGUUUAACUGUAUAGUUGGAAAUUCGGAUAUAUGUUGAGGGGGCAUUCGGCCAUUUUCUCAAGAAAAAAACAAUAACUUGUGAUUCUAAAUACUCCAAUAAGAUUCCCUGACUAGAAAAAUAUCUCAUUUAAUUUGAUGUACAAUUAAAAAAUCAAAAUUAAAUUUUUUUUAACAUAAUUUUUUUUUUUCAUGUUUUACGGGAAAAAAAAGCAACAUUAUAUCAUAGAAAAUGAAACAAAUGGAAUAGUGCUUAUGAAAACAAAUGGAAUGAGAAAAACAGUAAAGAAAUAAGAUUUAUUUCGAGGAGAAAGAUACGAUGGUGACAUAUAUAAUAAAAAAAAUUAGUGAAUAAUUACAAUACAAUACUCUCAAGUCUUAAGGCCAAACAAAAUCAACACAAAUUUUGGGAAGUUCUUCAAAAUCCUCAGCUAAAUUGAAGUCAGUGUUGAAAUUAGUUGAGGAAUUGUUGAAUACCCUUUGGUUGGAAACUCCUUUGGCAGCCACAACAGCACAAGAAUCAGCAACUGAAGAAGAAGGUGAAGUCAAAUAAUCAGUAUUUUCAUGUCUAAGAAACUCAGCUAACAAAAGAACGAGAGAAGCCAUUUGAUAAAAAAAAAAAUCUAAUGAGAGAGGUUUUCAAGAUUUUUCCUUUGUUUGAUACAAUGAAUUCAAGGCACACAAAUUUUUCCUAAUUUAUAAGCAAUCAAAAGUAGGUGAAUAGUAGUAGUAUUAAAAGCCGGUUUGGCUUAGAUACUAUACUCUGUG